AUACGGAGGGGGUUAGCGUUGUUCGGAAUUACUGGGCGUAAAGCGUACGUAGGCGGACUGGAAAGUUGGGGGUGAAAUCGCGGGGCUCAACCCCGGAACUGCCUCCAAAACUUCCAAUCUAGAGAUCGAGAGAGGUGAGUGGAAUUCCAAGUGUAGAGGUGAAAUUCGUAGAUAUUUGGAGGGACACCAGUGGCGAAGGCGGCUCACUGGCUCGAUACUGACGCUGAGGUACGAAAGCGUGGGGAGCAAACAGGAUUAGAUACCCUAGUAGUCC
rnacentral:rRNA from 1 species